AAAAGUUCCACAUUGUCUCAUGAGAUGGAUUAGUUUAGUCUAGGAAAAAAUCUUUCCAAAGUGUUUGUCUAAUAAAGAGAAAUUUAUCUCCAGCAAGGAAAUAAUUAGGUAGAACAAUUUUGCCUUGGCUUAUGCAGGCAAAUUUUUCCUUCUUUUUAGUCAAGCAACCACUCAGGAUUCUUAAAAUUCAAGAAAACAACCAAGGUUUAUUGGAAGCAGAACUUUCUUUCAAUGUUUCAGGCUGGUUUACAAGUUUGGAAAAUAAAUUUUUGCUGAGUCAGUGAGCACCUACUGCAGCCGGUGUCUGUUGGUUCAGAGCUGACAGCAGCUCUCGCCACACAGGCACAGUUCAUUGCCAUCUACCUGCAAACUCCCCAGAGCCAUUCCCCCGCUAUCCCAAGAGCCCAUAACAAGUGGAUAACAAGCUAGAAGGAUUGGGAUCUCAUGGAAUCGGCUGAAAUUGACCUAAAGUGGGCAUACAUUCAUCAGGGAAAUGGACUACACGAUCUUCUGACUUCCUUUGCAUUCUAAAUUAAUCUGUGAUUCUGUGAUUUUUCCAAUUCACACUUGCAGAAUAAACUGUUGAUCAGUUAAGCAGUGGAUUUAGCUUAAUCAAGAGGUAUCUUUCUUAAAUUUAGUUGUAUGCAGUAUGUAAGGCACCAAACUGUCUGAUUUAUUGUCCUUUCUGGUCUAGGAAACUGAGAAGCUCAUGAAAACCCAACUUUAUAUGUUACAAUAGUAGAUAUAUCGGAAGGAGAAAAAUGUAUUUGAUACAUGUAGUCAUCUGCUUAACACUCUACUGAGGCUUUGCUGAGAAAUAAAUAACAAAUUGUUGUCAAGUUGGCGUAACUUGACAGCCAGUUCUAGCUGGUUUUUGCUUCAGCCAACAGCUUCAGAUAUGGAAAAACAUAUCGUGCUUACCAAUCUUUGCAGAUGGACAUGGUAACAAGGCCUAUGUGUUCUCAGACCUCAUAAUAACGAUGACCAGAAUAAAGAGAUCAUAGUUACUCCUGCCUCAGGCUGUCCUGAAAGGUGGUUAUGUCCACACAAGUGGGUUUAGGUAGAUCACAACCACGGCAAGUUCAGCUCAAAGUUCACAGAUCAUUCACAUUUCAGAGCAAGUUUUGAAGAAGUCCUUAUCAGUCACUGAUACAUCUCAUAUGAGGGAAAGAAUUAAAAAAGGAAACGGGCUCACCGAGGAAAAACAUCAAGAGUUUCAUCCUCUGAUCUGAAAAUUCCUACACAGACAAGAAGGUGGAAAGGAGAUCUAAGCAACAAGAGGAAUGUUCAAUCUUUAUGAUUGUUCUGCCUUCACAUCCAUUAAAAGGCAACUGAUCAAGACUCUUGUUUCUGGUGGGUGAGGCCCUACCCUGCAGUCUUCUUCACACCUGCAGGGCUGUGCUCAGCAGAUAGAGUGUUGCCAGGUUUGGACUGUCAGGCAUGGUGGAGAGAGCAUUAAUGGAAGAGUUCAAGCUGUGCUCCAGAGAAGCCAUGUCAAGCACCAACAGUAUGUAAAUCUAAGUCCAACACUCUUUUCCCUUUUUUCUUGCAAGAGCUGCUUUAUAAGAAACAACAGUUUCUUCUGACUUGCAAUGGAGGCAGAAGAUUGGGAAGGGAAAGGACAAGGUGGAUAAACACUGUUAACAGCAAAUCUGAGAAUAACGCAGGAAAGCCCUAAGUGCUGGCUCAGCUUAAAUUACUUCCUACCACUUUCUGUCUGGGAUACUCAGCUGAUUUAUCCUAAAAUUGUUUUCUUGUACUUCCAAGGAUGUUGAGCAGAUAUGCUAUUUCGUCCUAAACAGUGUCUAACCUGUGAGAGACAAGAACAUCCAUAGCAGUCUCAGUGUCCUGGGAGUGCAUUGUUUAACCAGUUGAGCAUUUAUUAGGGAGCACUUGUCAGGAAACAGGUGUGAUUUGAAGACACACAAAUCUAGCUUUUUCUAAGCCUUUAGUACCUUGGGAUGGUGAGCCCCUGCAGUUCCUCUCCCUACCAGGGCCAGAGAAAUGCUGAAAGUUUUCUGGAUAGAAAGAACAGCCUCAAACAGGGGAUAAGUAUCUGUUUGCUCUCUGAUAGCAGAAAACACAGCCUUGAAUUUGUUUGCUGCUCAUGUCAGAUAAUGUUCUUUUACUGUAAGAGCUUAGAAAACAAUAUCUCUCUUUCAAAUACCAGAACACACUUUGUCUGUAAAUCAUACAAGAAUUCACUAGACAUCCAAGCAGACAAUAGGAAUAAUCUAAAAUACAUCGUGUAUACAUGUUAGAAGACAGGAAAAAAUUCCUCAUAUGGCUCAGAAAUAGAACAGAUUACACAGAACACAAUUCAUAAAGCUUUUUCUGGCAAAUCAGAAAAAUUCACAAAAAUUAACAGUCCCCAAGAAUUUUUAGAAUUUCAGUCUUCUGUGUCUUCCAUAACAGACUGGUGGAAGAUGCUCAUGUAAAGCCUAAGAAAGUGAAACUUAAGCAAGAAAAGCAGCAGUUCUAAUGUUAUUCCAUGUCCAAACUGACAGAGGAAUGAAAAUGCUGGAGUCACCAUAAGAUGCUUUGAGUACG